rnacentral:rRNA from 1 species
UCGAGCGAACAGAUAAGGAGCUUGCUCCUUUGACGUUAGCGGCGGACGGGUGAGUAACACGUGGGUAACCUACCUAUAAGACUGGGAUAACUUCGGGAAACCGGAGCUAAUACCGGAUAACAUUUGGAACCGCAUGGUUCUAAAGUGAAAGAUGGUUUUGCUAUCACUUAUAGAUGGACCCGCGCCGUAUUAGCUAGUUGGUAAGGUAACGGCUUACCAAGGCGACGAUACGUAGCCGACCUGAGAGGGUGAUCGGCCACACUGGAACUGAGACACGGUCCAGACUCCUACGGGAGGCAGCAGUAGGGAAUCUUCCGCAAUGGGCGAAAGCCUGACGGAGCAACGCCGCGUGAGUGAUGAAGGGUUUCGGCUCGUAAAACUCUGUUAUUAGGGAAGAACAAACGUGUAAGUAACUGUGCACGUCUUGACGGUACCUAAUCAGAAAGCCACGGCUAACUACGUGCCAGCAGCCGCGGUAAUACGUAGGUGGCAAGCGUUAUCCGGAAUUAUUGGGCGUAAAGCGCGCGUAGGCGGUUUCUUAAGUCUGAUGUGAAAGCCCACGGCUCAACCGUGGAGGGUCAUUGGAAACUGGGAAACUUGAGUGCAGAAGAGGAAAGUGGAAUUCCAUGUGUAGCGGUGAAAUGCGCAGAGAUAUGGAGGAACACCAGUGGCGAAGGCGACUUUCUGGUCUGUAACUGACGCUGAUGUGCGAAAGCGUGGGGAUCAAACAGGAUUAGAUACCCUGGUAGUCCACGCCGUAAACGAUGAGUGC